rnacentral:rRNA from 1 species
CCUACGGGCGGCUGCAGUGGGGAAUAUUGCACAAUGGGCGCAAGCCUGAUGCAGCCGUGCCGCGUGUGUGAAGAAGGCCUUCGGGUUGUAAAGCACUUUCAGCGGGGAGGAAGGCGUUAAGGUUAAUAACCUUGUCGAUUGACGUUACCCGCAGAAGAAGCACCGGCUAACUCCGUGCCAGCAGCCGCGGUAAUACGGAGGGUGCAAGCGUUAAUCGGAAUUACUGGGCGUAAAGCGCACGCAGGCGGUCUGUCAAGUCGGAUGUGAAAUCCCCGGGCUCAACCUGGGAACUGCAUUCGAAACUGGCAGGCUAGAGUCUUGUAGAGGGGGGUAGAAUUCCAGGUGUAGCGGUGAAAUGCGUAGAGAUCUGGAGGAAUACCGGUGGCGAAGGCGGCCCCCUGGACAAAGACUGACGCUCAGGUGCGAAAGCGUGGGGAGCAAACAGGAUUAGAUACCCUAGUAGUC